rnacentral:rRNA from 1 species
UACGUAGGGGGCUAGCGUUGUCCGGAAUCAUUGGGCGUAAAGAGCGUGUAGGCGGUCCGGUAAGUCCGUUGUGAAAGUCAGGGGCUCAACCCUUGAAUGCCGGCGGAUACUGUCGGGCUAGAGUCCGGAGGAGGCAAGUGGAAUUCCCGGUGUAGCGGUGAAAUGCGCAGAUAUCGGGAGGAACACCUAUGGCGAAGGCAGCUUGCUGGGACGGUACUGACGCUGAGACGCGAAAGCGUGGGGAGCAAACAGG